rnacentral:rRNA from 1 species
UGGGGAAUAUUGCACAAUUGGCGCAAGCCUGAUGCAGCCAUGCCGCGUGUAUGAAGAAGGCCUUCGGGUUGUAAAGUACUUUCAGCGGGGAGGAAGGUGUUGUGGUUAAUAACCACAGCAAUUGACGUUACCCGCAGAAGAAGCACCGGCUAACUCCGUGCCAGCAGCCGCGGUAAUACGGAGGGUGCAAGCGUUAAUCGGAAUUACUGGGCGUAAAGCGCACGCAGGCGGUCUGUCAAGUCGGAUGUGAAAUCCCCGGGCUCAACCUGGGAACUGCAUCCGAAACUGGCAGGCUUGAGUCUUGUAGAGGGGGGUAGAAUUCCAGGUGUAGCGGUGAAAUGCGUAGAGAUCUGGAGGAAUACCGGUGGCGAAGGCGGCCCCCUGGACAAAGACUGACGCUCAGGUGCGAAAGCGUGGGGAGCAAACA